GAAGAAGAGGUGAGAAUGGCUCCUGGACCAACCACAGCCACUGCAUCCUGCGGCCACUGCAUCCCAUGCCCAGCACCUACCACCCACCACAAUCUCCGACACCAUGCCCAAGAAGAAAGGCUAAAGGGGAUGCUAAAGGAGUUAAAGCCAAGGUGAAGGACAAACCACAGAGAAGAUCUGUGAGGUUGACUGCUAAACCUGCUCCUCCAAAGCCAGGGUCCAAGCCUAAAAAGGGCCCUGCAAAGAAUGGAGAGAAGGUACUCAAAGGGAAAAAGGGAAAAGCUGAUGCUGGCAAGGAGGGGAAUAACCCUGCAGAAAAUGGAGAGACCAAAACAGACCACGCACAGAAAGCUGAAGGCGCUGGAGAUGCCAAGUGAAGUAUGUGCAUUUUUGAUAACUGUGCACUCCU
rnacentral:lncRNA from 1 species